UGCCCAGCAACUCCUAUCCCUACCUCCUCGUAGUAUCGGCCUGAAACUACGAGUAACUUUAGGGAAGAUCGGGUAACCAACCCCUUUGAGAACUUUGGUCCUAGUCUGACAGGGAAGG
rnacentral:ribozyme from 1 species